UAAACUCGACUGUUGUUAGUUUUACUUUCUUAACUUUACUAUAGUUGUAGCAGUCAAAGAUCAACUCUAUCUUUCGGUCCCACUCAAGGUAGGUCUCUACAUCAUUCCUUCCUCUGAACAAGGGUGUCCGCAUUUUGAUGGAUCUGAUGUCACCAUUUUCCUUAUAGAUUUCUCUUCUAUCAACCUCACUAUUAUUGCCAUAAGACUCAUCAUCAUCUGAUUGGUGUCGAUGUCUUGGAUGACCAAGGUUCCUUCCUCAAUCUCAGCAUUCAUCCUUAUUGUUAUACCUUUAAUGGCUAAACUCAAUCCGUUGUACAUGUCAUUCAUCCUAGCCUCCAUGCGCUCCUAUAAUAUCUACAAAAAGAUGAAUUAAAAAGAAAAAAAAUUGCUCCCUCAUAAUAACUCGUGUUUACCUCUCUUGUUU
rnacentral:lncRNA from 1 species